rnacentral:tRNA from 1 species
GGCUAUAGCUCAGUGGUAGAGCCCCCUCCUCGCACCUGUGAAGCACUGAGUUCAAUCCUCAGCGCCA